rnacentral:rRNA from 1 species
GCAGUGGGGAAUAUUGCACAAUGGGCGCAAGCCUGAUGCAGCCAUGCCGCGUGUAUGAAGAAGGCCUUCGGGUUGUAAAGUACUUUCAGUGGGGAGGAAGGCGAUGAAGUUAAUAGCUUCGUCGAUUGACGUUACCCGCAGAAGAAGCACCGGCUAACUCCGUGCCAGCAGCCGCGGUAAUACGGAGGGUGCAAGCGUUAAUCGGAAUUACUGGGCGUAAAGCGCACGCAGGCGGUCUGUCAAGUCGGAUGUGAAAUCCCCGGGCUCAACCUGGGAACUGCAUUCGAAACUGGCAGGCUAGAGUCUUGUAGAGGGGGGUAGAAUUCCAGGUGUAGCGGUGAAAUGCGUAGAGAUCUGGAGGAAUACCGGUGGCGAAGGCGGCCCCCUGGACAAAGACUGACGCUCAGGUGCGAAAGCGUGGGGAGCAAACAGGAUUAGA